ACGAAACGUUGGCGGCGUGGUUGAGGCAUGCAAGUCGCACGAGAAACGGAGGGGCAACUCUCCUAGUAAAGUGGCGGAAGGGUGAGGAAUGGGUAGAUAACGUACCUUGGAGAUGGGCAUAACGGCUCGAAAGAGCCGCUAAUUCCCGAUGAGACCACAGUAUGGCAUCAUACAGGGGUCAAUGGCUGGGGAUCUUCGGACCCUAGCGCUCUAAGAUCGGUCUACUCCCUACCAGUUAGUUGGCGGGGUAACGGCCCACCAAGACUGCGACGGGUACCCGGCUGAGAGGCUGAUCGGGCACAUCGGCACUGAGAACACUGGCCGGACCACCUACGGGUGGCUGCAGUUCGGAAUAUUCGGCAAUGGACCGAAAAGUCUGACCGAGCGACGCCGCGUGCGGGAUGAAGGCCCUUUGGGUUGUAAACCGCUGUCACAGGUGAGCAAAUUCAUUGUGGGUGAACAAUCCAUGAUGUUGAGUUAAGCUUGAGAGGAAGCCCCCGCUAAUCACGUGCCAGCAGCGGCGGUUAAUACGUGAGGGGCGAAACGUUGUUCGGUGUCACUGGGCUUUAAAGGGUGCGUAGGUGGUUGCGUAAGUAAGGUGUGAAAGCCCUCGGCUUACCCGGGGAAUCGCGCCUUAUACUGCGUGACUUGAGGAUUUCAGGGGAAUGGGGAACUCCAGGUGUAGCGGUGAAAAUGCGCAGAUAUCUGGGGGAAGGCCGGCGGCGAAGGCGCCAUUCUGGGAAAUUCCUGACACUGAGGCACGGAAAAGCGUGGGGAGGGCAAACAGGAUUAGAUACCCUGGUAGUCCCACGCCCUAACGAUGGAUACUAAGUAGGGGACCCUGCAAGGGGUUUCCUUGCCGGAGCAAAAAGCGUUAAGUAUCCCGCCUGGGGAGUAUGGUCGCAAGGCUGAAACUCAAAAGAAUUGACGGGGGCUCCACACAAGCGGUGGAGCAUGUUGCUUAAUUCGAUGCAACGCGAAGAACCUUACCCGGGCUCGAAGUGUACGGAUUAGCUCUAUGAAAGUUAGAGUGACACCUUAACCGGUGGAACGUAUAAAGGUGUUGCAUGGCUGUCGUCAGCUCGUGUCGUGAGAUGUCGGGUUAAUUAGUCCCUUAACGAGCGAAAACCCCUGUCCUUAGUUGCCAUCGGGUUCAUGCCGGGAACUCUAGGGAGACUGCCGGUGUUAAAACCGGAGGAAGGUGGGGAUGACGUCAAGUCCAUCAUGGCCCUUACGUCCGGGGCGGCAAACGUGCUACAAAUUGGCCAUUACAGCGCGACGCAAGGACCGCGAGGUGGAGCAAAUCGCUUAAAAAAAAUGGCCCCAGUUUCGGAUUGGGAGGCUGCAAUUCGCCCCCAUGAAGCCGGAAUCGCUAGUAAUCGGGGAUCAGCCACGCCCCGGUGAAUAUGUUCCUGAGCCUUGUACACACCGCCCGUCAAGCCACGAAAGCUGGGGGUACCUGAAGUCGUGAUAAAACGCCCAUGGUAAAACCAGUGAUUGGGACU
rnacentral:rRNA from 1 species